CAAAGACACUUUGGCCUAAGUUUCAUGUUUGCUUAGGCACAAUGGGAAAGGAAACCAUUUGUAUGUUG
rnacentral:lncRNA from 1 species